CUCGCUGUGAAGAUGCAGUGUACCCGCGGCAAGACGGAAAGACCCCGUGAACCUUUACUAUAGCUUGACACUGAACAUUGAGCCUUGAUGUGUAGGAUAGGUGGGAGGCUUUGAAGUGUGGACGCCAGUCUGCAUGGAGCCGACCUUGAAAUACCACCCUUUAAUGUUUGAUGUUCUAACGUGGACCCGUAAUCCGGGUUGCGGACAGUGUCUGGUGGGUAGUUUGACUGGGGCGGUCUCCUCCUAAAGAGUAACGGAGGAGCACGAAGGUUGGCUAAUCCUGGUCGGACAUCAGGAGGUUAGUGCAAUGGCAUAAGCCAGCUUGACUGCGAGCGUGACGGCGCGAGCAGGUGCGAAAGCAGGUCAUAGUGAUCCGGUGGUUCUGAAUGGAAGGGCCAUCGCUCAACGGAUAAAAGGUACUCCGGGGAUAACAGGCUGAUACCGCCCAAGAGUUCAUAUCGACGGCGGUGUUUGGCACCUCGAUGUCGGCUCAU
rnacentral:rRNA from 1 species